UGGCUUAGAUGGUAAAGUGUCUGCCUACAAUGCGGGAGACCCAGGUUCGAUCCCUGG
rnacentral:tRNA from 1 species